rnacentral:tRNA from 1 species
UGGGUAAUAGCUCAGUGGUAGAGCAUAUGCUUAGCAUGCAUGAGGUCCUGGGUUCAAUCCAGUAUCUCCA